GUCAGAUCGGGAUACUCAUCAAAUAAUUCAGAAAGACCGAGAAGGCAUCCAUUGUUGAUGGCGGGCCACAUAAACCCUUCGGGACUAAGCUGCAAAGCCGGUGGAUUACAAAGACGUGGAGCUCUCAAAUCCUUAUAGCUCGGAGUUUCAUCACAUCGUCGGCACGACUUUUU
rnacentral:sRNA from 1 species